UUUUGGGGUGCUCUGCAGUGGAGGCCUGUGCUGUCCACGUGUAAUGUCGGCCCGGUGAGGCGAGGACAGGUCAUGGCAGCUCAGCCAGGGAUGCUGUGUCCGUACGCUGACCUGCGCUGGGGCUCCCUUGAGCUGCCUGUCCCACCGCCUCAUUCCUGGGGCACCCACGUGGGAAAGCUCUGAGACGUGUCCCAGGGUGGGCUUGGGGGACCCCUUUCUCCAUGCUGUGCAUCUGGGGGCCGCCAGACUCAGGAGCAGAGGCCGCCUCUCCUAUGCGAUCAUGGGACCCCUUCCCCCGGGGGCUGGAUGCAAGCAGGUGUGCCCGGGAGCUGCAUUCAGCCGCCGCCCCAUCCUCUCCUCUCCCUAGUACACGGUGUGGGCAGCCGUCUGGGUCACCUGGAACGUCUUCAUCAUCUGCUUCUACCUGGAAGUCGGUGGCCUCUUACAGGGGCUCUCUGCUCUGGCCGGUGUAGCACAGGUGGGCACUGGGGCAGGUGCCCAGCCAGGCAGACGGGCCCCCGCUUCCUGGAACCAC
rnacentral:sRNA from 1 species